rnacentral:rRNA from 1 species
GACGAACGCUGGCGGCGUGCUUAACACAUGCAAGUCGAACGGAGCGAAUGAAAGCUUGCUUUUAUGAGCUUAGUGGCAAGCGGGUGAGUAACACGUAGACAACCUGCCGAUCAGAUGGGGACAACAUUCCGAAAGGAAUGCUAAUACCGAAUGGCGUGUAGGGGAGGCAUCUUCCCUACAUGAAAGAUGGCCUCUAUAUAUAAGCUAUCACUGAUCGAUGGGUCUGCGUCUGAUUAGCUAGUAGGUAAGGUAACGGCUUACCUAGGCGACGAUCAGUAGCCGGUCUGAGAGGAUGAACGGCCACAUUGGGACUGAGACACGGCCCAGACUCCUACGGGAGGCAGCAGUGGGGAAUCUUCCGCAAUGGGCGCAAGCCUGACGGAGCAACGCCGCGUGAGUGAAGAAGGUCUUCGGAUCGUAAAGCUCUGUUGAAGGGGACGAACGAUCGAGGGGCGAAC